rnacentral:rRNA from 1 species
CAGUCGCCGCGGUAAUACGAAGGGGGCUAGCGUUGCUCGGAAUCACUGGGCGUAAAGGGUGCGUAGGCGGGUUUCUAAGUCAGGGGUGAAAUCCUGGAGCUCAACUCCAGAACUGCCCUUGAUACUGGAAGUCUUGAGUAUGGGAGAGGUGAGUGGAACUGCGAGUGUAGAGGUGAAAUUCGUAGAUAUUCGCAAGAACACCAGUGGCGAAGGCGGCUCACUGGCCCGAUACUGACGCUGAGGCACGAAAGCGUGGGGAGCAAACAGGAUUAGAUACCCCUGUAGUCCCUGUCUCUUAUAC